rnacentral:rRNA from 1 species
UACGUAGGUGGCGAGCGUUGUCCGGAUUUACUGGGCGUAAAGGGAGCGUAGGCGGACUUUUAAGUGAGAUGUGAAAUACCCGGGCUCAACUUGGGUGCUGCAUUUCAAACUGGAAGUCUAGAGUGCAGGAGAGGAGAAUGGAAUUCCUAGUGUAGCGGUGAAAUGCGUAGGGAUUAGGAAGAACACCAGUGGCGAAGGCGAUUCUCUGGACUGUAACUGACGCUGAGGCUCGAAAGCGUGGGAGGCAAACAGGAUUAGAUACCCGGUACGGUCCU